rnacentral:rRNA from 1 species
GAUGAACGCUGGCGGCGUGCUUAACACAUGCAAGUCGAACGAUGAAGCCCAGCUUGCUGGGUGGAUUAGUGGCGAACGGGUGAGUAACACGUGAGUAACCUGCCCUUAACUCUGGGAUAAGCCUGGGAAACUGGGUCUAAUACCGGAUAGGAGCGUCCACCGCAUGGUGGAUGUUGGAAAGAUUUAUCGGUUUUGGAUGGACUCGCGGCCUAUCAGCUUGUUGGUGAGGUAAUGGCUCACCAAGGCGACGACGGGUAGCCGGCCUGAGAGGGUGACCGGCCACACUGGGACUGAGACACGGCCCAGACUCCUACGGGAGGCAGCAGUGGGGAAUAUUGCACAAUGGGCGCAAGCCUGAUGCAGCGACGCCGCGUGAGGGAUGACGGCCUUCGGGUUGUAAACCUCUUUCAGUAGGGAAGAAGCGAAAGUGACGGUACCUGCAGAAGAAGCACCGGCUAACUACGUG